AAGUCGUAACAAGGUUUCCGUAGGUGAACCUGCGGAAGGAUCAUUACCAAAUCCAAAACCCUUAUCAACACCUAAACAUGUGCACCGAGAAUGGUCCGUUCUCCUGUCUGCCCUUUGCACACACACGAACAUACAUACACACAUGCAUAUCCAUGCAUACAUGCACAUAUUCUGUGUGCGUGUGUGCAUGUGAGAGAGUGUGUGUAUGUGUAAGUGGUGCGAGGGGAAAGCACAGAGAGGAGAGCGUUUUUUUUUCCCAACCCCUUUUUCAACCAUUACUUAUACAUUUGAUGCUGAAAGCAAAACAAAAAAACGAAACAUGAGACAACUUUUAACGGUGGAUCUCUUGGCUCGU
rnacentral:misc_RNA from 1 species